ACAUGAUUGAAGCAAAAGAUUCUGCACAGAUAAGUGAGAUAUUUGCCGGCAGGAGGAAGGUGUAGUUCUGUGAGAUAAAAGGAAGGUGUAUUUUUUCUCACUACUCAAUUUGUCUGGAGAUACAUCUUAUAACAAAUCUCCCCUUAAUGUUGUGAGGAUACAUAAAUUCAGGUCAAAUUAAAUAGCCAGCCAAUCUGCAUUUUAAAUGAUGGUGUGGUUAAUAAAAAGAAAAAAAAAUCAGACAGCUAUGAUGUAGCAAGUCCUCUGAAAGUCUCUUAAUGGCAGUUAAUAAAGAGAACUUCAAAAUCAAUACAUUACUUUCCUGGAAGCCAAUGUAAAGUCAUUAAAUUGGGUGUAAUAGAAUGUAAGCUUCUGUGCCUGCAAGAAUUCAAGUAUUCGUGUCCUGGGCACUUUGUGUCUGGGGAAAAAGAUGAUCAAAACUUCCGUGAAGCAAAGCAAUGUGUUACAACACUUUAAUUUCUGCAAAACAAGAGCUUUCACAAGAAAUUGAAAAUCAUUACCUCAAAGUAACUGUAUCUUUGGCACCAUUUCACAGAAAGUUGCAUUCUCUCCCUGACUGGCUGCAGAGGGACAGACCAUUUCAUUUGGUCUUGAGAAAAAGUCACUACUGUCUUUCCUUUGUAAUAUGUGAAAUGAAAGGACUGUGCCUGGCACAAAGGCAAACCUCCUGUGAAUGCUACAGAUUGUUUUCCAUUGUGUUGUUAAAAGUCUUUUAUUUCCAACCUUUUCCCAUUUCCUAGACCUGACUACUAAAGCCCAACAAGACCUCAAACCAAACAAACAUUUAACACAAAACCAACAACAAAACCCCAACUGUAUAUUAAGGCUUUGAAAUAUUUUUCUUUCCUGCUUCAAACAGCUAUCUAUCUAUUUACUUUCAAACACAGGCAGUCUCUGUGGUUCAAGCUGUUUAUAUCAAGACUGCUCUCCAUUCCCACCUUCCAUAAAACCUUCUGAACAUGUGAUAUGAACUGUAAUGUAUUUAUGCAUCUUUAAGGUGUUUUGUUCUGGUGCAGCAUGGCAUAGUUUCACUAGCAACUGGCAAAGCGCUUGGAGAUUCCUUUUACAGAGGGGUUUUGCAAAUUUCUCUGCUCCAUGUUUAUUCCUUUGGGUUUGAAUGGUGACAGCUUGCAAAUGCCCCUUUAAUCCUGACUGUGAACUAGGGGAAAAGAAUUAAACAUGAAAAUUAAAAAUAAAAAACAAACCCAGAGAAGAGCCUGUCCCUGGAGAUGUCCCUACAGAUGACUGUGCUGUUUUUCUUGGCUUCAUGGAGAAGAUAUGGUGGAAAAACUAAGUUCCUCAGUGAAUGUAGGUUGUUGCUAUAUAUAGAUCUAAUUUCAUGUAAAGACCUAAGAAGCUUAGGAUAAUGAAAUAUAUGUUAAGGCACAAAGCCAGUUGCAUUCAAUGCAAUUUCAGGUUUCAUUGAGAAGACCCUAUAGUGUAUUUUAUGGAGUGCAUAAAGCUGAUGAUGUAAUAAAACCAGACAUGAAUCUUCAAUGCACACAGGUAGGCUAGUUCCACUUGUUCCCAAGUUCAAAUAUGCACCACAUUAGGUCUUCUCCACACAAGAUCUUGCACCAGUGCGGUGUAACACUCAAGAUUACACUGACUUACAGAAAGUGUUGCAAAAUCAUGCUAAUGUCUCUGAAAUUGAAACCUGAGUGAGUUGUAUCAGCUUACACCACUGAAAGCAGCCACCCAUGAUAGGUAUUAGUGUUUACCCGAGAUUUUGCACUUAUUUGCAAAGCAAAUUCUUGGUUAGUGGUGCAACUUUCUGUUGCUGAUAAGAUCUAAAGCUACUCACUGCUGGUGCAUGCGUGGCUGGUGGCACUGGCUGCCCAUUCAUGGGUGGGUGUGCUUGUGUUUGAUCUGCAUACACUGUUUUAUAAGAUUGAAACAGCUAUACUAUGGGCAAAAAGCAAUCUGAAACUGUCCCUGGCAGUGCUGAGAAAUAACCAGUGGUGUGGGUGCCUGUGGCCUUGGUUGUUCCUGAAAUAAGAAAAGUUGAUUCCAACAUUGUUUCUUCACCCAAUUCAUCUAACCUCUGUCCCAACAAAUAAAGUAAAGGUGGACAAAAGCGGAUCAUUUCCAAGUGUGUCAUCUAGGCAUCCUGGACAUCAGCAGCAUCUGAGUGACUUGUUGGAUAUUCUGGUAAAGCAGGGCCUCAGCUUGUGCUCUCCUGACUGCAGUGCCUGGGCAGCGCUGAAAAUAGGAACUUUCUGAAGAACCUACAGAGUGCAAAUGUUAUUUGUCACCAUGGGCCAACUGCCAUAAUGCACAAGGGCUGCUGCAUAUGAGUUUGCAGGCUUCUGGCCAAGGGACUCGCUUUCCAGCAGGCGAGCUGCUGCUGCUGCUGCUGCUUUGGCUCUGCACGAGAGUGUAGUGACAGCAGUCAAUCUUUACCCUAGUCCCAAGAUAACCUGUGCCAUCACUGUGACAGAUCAGCUGGUAAAGAGUUAGUGUAAAGUGCACUUGUAAGAGACCACCCUGACCUACCCGUCUGUAAUCUGAAAACUAUUCCUUGGCAUGGUUUCUUCCCCAGCACUGCUCCUGUAGGCUAAUUGCAUUGGAGGGUCUGAAGUAAUUUACGUAGUACAAGAAGCACAGUGGGUGAAGAGCAGCAUAUUUCACAGGCAAGAAGGAAGAAAUUCACUGUAAGUGGAGCCUUCACGAUGGAAAACCAGGAGAAACGCACAGCAGCCACAACAUCCUGACUCAUUUCUGUACGGUGAUAGAUGUUACAGCUUUUACAAACAAAUGCUAUAGGUGAAAAUCCCUUUCUUUUGUCUAGAAGAGACUCCUUUUGUUUAGAAGAUACUAGUUCUCUAAUUCAAAUGAACUGAAGCAAACAAAAUGAAAAGCUAAAUCAGCAAUGCUAUUAAACCAUUUGAGAUUUGUAUAUAGUCCUCAUCUGGGAUUUAUGUGAAUAAUGUGGUCCAAAGCAGCUGUUAAUCUGAAAUCAUAGUGUGUAUAGGCUUUACUUUUUUAAGGAAAAGAUGCUAUAUUGGAAAAGAUUUGUUGACUUUUAUCUGAAUGCUUUUGUAAAGUUUUUGUAAAGGCUGAAAGUGGCUAUUCAAGGAGGACAUAUAGUGUCCUAGUAUUAGGCGGUGCUAGAUUUGUAAUAAAACCAUGGUAUAGUAGUGUAUAGAAAAUACAAAGAAUAAAAUUUAAAGCAUAGCACUUGUUUUUAAA